ensembl:lncRNA
CUAAGUACAUGCAUAACAUUGUGCAAAUAACAUCCAUUUCCGUUUUCAAAAACCUAGUUUUUAUUAAUAAAUCUAGAUAAACAGCUGCCAGAACUGAGGUUCAACCGAGUAGGAUAACCGUAUACAAACCAAAUAGGAGCACGCAGUCUAACAAAUGCCAGCGAACUUACUGAGAAAAAACAGAAUAUUUAAAAUCUGUUGAAACCAACUGUCACAGUAACAUAUGUGCCAACAGGAAAAAUAACCGAAGUUAAAUACGACACAGAAAUAGCUUAAGAUGUCAGUCAACGUCCUCCUACCCCGGGAAGGGCGACUGGUGACGCCUGGAAGCAGUAAGUUAAGGUCGCUCGGAUGCGCUCGCACGCGCUCGCACCAGAAACUAAAACGAAGGUUCUUAACUUGCGCUUGGAGAACCCUUGAAACGACAGGGCAUGCUUAAAUGCGGUGGGGGGUGCAGAGCGUUCACGGGAUCUUCGACAGGAAGGUUUUAAAAACGACCGCAUUGCAGGGACCGGACAGGGACCAUCGCGGUGACAGCGAGCGGGCCUUAAGGUCGGGGUCGCAGGGCUUAGAACCCUCCGCGGAGCGAUCGGGUGACGGGUGAAGGAUGGAUGCGAGGUGUGGACCUAGCCCCGGGUUCGCGGUCCGGGAACUAGGCCCGGAUGCAGGGGCGGGGCCGGGAAGACACCGCCUACCCGCGGCCCUGUUUACCCCGGAAUAUGACGCCCAGACAAAGGGAGAGGGAAGAGGGGUCCCGCAGGGACUUCACAGGCGUGGCUAUAGCCCCGAGGGGUUGGGAACAUCUCCCCCCCCCCCGCCCCCGGUCCGCGUCACCCGUCUUCCUCUGGUCCUACCCAAGCCUCUGCGACACCCGGCGGGGCUGGCCGUUGGCCGCAGCGCACGCUCGUCAACCUGCCCAUUUGUUAUUCUCUGGAUGGGGCGGCGACCACCGAGCCGGGAGCCAGGGCUGCGGGCCUCGCUGGGGCGGGGGACUAACAGGACCAGGGCAGCCGUCGGGGCCAGCAGGGACGUUACUUCUGCCGCCUUAGCGCCAGCAAAGCAAGAGACG